GGAUGAACGCUAGCGGGAGGCUUAACACAUGCAAGUCGAGGGGUAAAUGGUAGCAAUACUAUGAGACCGGCGGACGGGUGCGUAACGCGUAUGCAACAUACCUUGUGCAGGGGGAUAGCCCGUGGAAACGCGGAUUAAUAUUCCAUAGUCCAGCUAUAUCGCAUGGUAUAGUUGGUAAAGAUUUAUCGGCACAAGUUUGGCAUGCGUCUGAUUAGCUUGUUGGUAGGGUAACGGCCUACCAAGGCUACGAUCAGUAGGGGUUCUGAGAGGAUUAACCCCCACACUGGUACUGAGACACGGACCAGACUCCUACGGGAGGCAGCAGUGAGGAAUAUUGGUCAAUGGGCGGAAGCCUGAACCAGCCAUCCCGCAUGAAGGAAGACAGCCUUACGGGUUGUAAACUUCUUUUCUGUCAGAAGAAUAAGCUUGUCGAGACGAGUGAUGCCGGUAUGACAGGAAUAAGCAUCGGCUAACUCCGUGCCAGCAGCCGCGGUAAUACGGAGGAUGCAAGCGUUAUCCGGAUUUAUUGGGUUUAAAGGGUGCGCAGGUUGUUUGAUAAGUCAGUGGUGAAAGUCUGUCGCUUAACGGUAGGAUUGCCAUUGAUACUGUUAGACUUGAAUAUGGAUGAGGUAGGCGGAAUGUGUAGUGUAGCGGUGAAAUGCAUAGAUAUUACACAGAACACCGAUUGCGAAGGCAGCUUACUAAUCCAUCAUUGACGCUGAGGCACGAAAGCGUGGGGAUCAAACAGGAUUAGAUACCCUGGUAGUCCACGCCGUAAACGAUGAUCACUCGCUGUUUGCGAUAUACAGUAAGCGGCUAAGCGAAAGCGUUAAGUGAUCCACCUGGGGAGUACGAUCGCAAGGUUGAAACUCAAAGGAAUUGACGGGGGCCCGCACAAGCGGAGGAACAUGUGGUUUAAUUCGAUGAUACGCGAGGAACCUUACCUGGGCUAGAAUGCGAGUGAAUGUGUGUGAAAGCAUGCAGGCCCGCAAGGGACACAAAGCAAGGUGCUGCAUGGCUGUCGUCAGCUCGUGUCGUGAGAUGUUGGGUUAAGUCCCGCAACGAGCGCGACCCCUAUCUUUAGUUGCUAACCCGCAAGGGAGGACUCUAGAGAGACUGCCCCCGUAAGGGGAGAGGAAGGAGGGGAUGACGUCAAGUCAUCAUGGCCUUUAUGUCCAGGACGACACACGUGCUACAAUGGCCGGUACAGAGGGAAGCGAAACAGUGAUGUGGAGCCAAUCCCAGAAAGCCGGUCUCAGUUCGGAUUGGAGUCUGCAACCCGACUCCAUGAAGUUGGAAUCGCUAGUAAUCGCGCAUCAGCCAUGGCGCGGUGAAUACGUUCCCGGACCU
rnacentral:rRNA from 1 species